rnacentral:rRNA from 1 species
GGACAACUGCCCUGAGGACUGGAAUAAUCCCGGGAAACUGGGAGUAAUUCCAGAUAUGCCGGGGAACCUGGAAUGGUUUCUGGCAGAAAUGCUCCGGCGCCUCAGGAUGGGUCUGCGGCCUAUCAGGGUAGUAGUGGGUGUAACGUACCCACUAGCCUACGACGGGUACGGGUUGUGAGAGCAAGAGCCCGGAGAUGGAUUCUGAGACAUGGAUCCAGGCCCUACGGGGUGCAGCAGGCGCGAAAACUUUACAAUGCGGGCAACCGCGAUAAGGGGACCUCGAGUGCUGGGUUACAAACCUGGCUGUUGGGCUGCCUAAAAAGCAGUCUAUAGCAAGGGCCGGGCAAGACCGGUGCCAGCCGCCGCGGUAACACCGGCGGCUCGAGUGGUAACCGCUGUUAUUGGGUCUAAAGGGUCUGUAGCCUGCCGGCUAAGUCUCUUGGGAAAUCUGGCAUCUCAAGUGUCAGGCUGCCAGGGGAUACUGGUCAGCUUGGGACCGGGAGAGGUGAGAGGUACCUCAGGGGUAGGGGUGAAAUCUUGUAAUCCUUGAGGGACCACCAGUGGCGAAGGCGUCUCACCAGAACGGAUCCGACGGCAAGGGACGAAAGCUAGGGGCACGAACCGGAUUAGAUACCCGGGUAGUCCUAGCCGUAAACGAUACUCGCUAGGUGUCGGCCACGGUGCGACCGUGGUCGGUGCCGUAGGGAAGCCGUGAAGCGAGCCACCUGGGAAGUACGGCCGCAAGGCUGAAACU